rnacentral:rRNA from 1 species
AUGAACGCUAGCGACAGGCCUAACACAUGCAAGUCGAGGGGCAGCACAAGGAGCAAUCUGAGGUGGCGACCGGCGCACGGGUGAGUAGCACGUAUGCAACCUGCCUGUAAGCGGGGAAUAACCCGUUGAAAGACGGACUAAUACCGCAUAAUACUAAAUUACUGCAUGGUAAUUCAUUUAAACAUUUAUGGCUUACAGAUGGGCAUGCGCAUGAUUAGCUAGUUGGAGAAGUAACGGCUCCCCAAGGCAACGAUCAUUAGGGGUUCUGAGAGGAAGGUCCCCCACACUGGUACUGAGACACGGACCAGACUCCUACGGGAGGCAGCAGUGAGGAAUAUUGGUCAAUGGACGAGAGUCUGAACCAGCCAAGUCGCGUGCAGGAAGAAUGUUCCCUAUGGAUUGUAAACUGCUUUUGCAGGGGAAUAAAGUGCAUCACGUGUGAUGUUUUGUAUGUACUCUGCGAAUAAGGAUCGGCUAACUCCGUGCCAGCAGCGGC